AAAAAACACAUCGUUUUAAAAAAAAACCCCAGAAACUCAGGGUCAGCCCCAGAACUGGUCCCCUUAUAUUUCCAAAACCAAACCCAGAGUCUCUGGCCCUGGAGCUCUUACUGGAAAGAGCCGCCCCCCGGCGUCAUCACCUUCAAAAAUUAUACCUCACCCUGGGCGUGAAGUGGCUUCUGUGGCCUACAAAGGUGGCCCCUGUCGAUAUCCCUGUCAGCCCACAGGCCAUACCAAACGACCCGUAUUUACUUGCCCCCAAAAAAACCCCACAAGAUACCGUGGAGGAUGCCAUUCAGUUCUGCUAUCUUCUUCGUUCCUAUAUCCCAGUAUAAUGUCCACCGUUUCCACCGUAACAAUUUCAUAAAGAACUGAUGAUUAAGGAGCGUGUGCGCGCACGCGCCCCCUCCUCGCACACACACCCCUCCCUCUGCAGCAGCUCGGCCUACACUGCAGCUUCACUGCCCUAAAAACCACUCACGGCGCGCAGAUCGGUUUUGCCCUGGACACCAAAGAAAUCCUCCAGAUUUGAGCCACUUGGUGGCGAAACACGAACUGUUGGCACUUCCCAUCAGGGUGGGGCGGAGCAGAUAUUUCUAGCUCUCAGGAAACUGGAGUUUAACUCAUAUAGUUUAGCUGACUCGUGCAGCGGAACUCUCAAAGACUAGAUUUCUUUCGUCUGAGGAAAGAAGAUGCCUCUUAGAGCAACCAUCUGUGCUGCGCUCGCGGAGAGAAAACACAAAGAGAAGCAUUUAGAACGAGUCAGCCCGGGCCGCGCGAACAAUGGAGAGUCACAGCGGGGCCUCCUAGAUGGGCCUCCCAGCCAGCCGCGGCGGCGUCUACACCCGCUCCGGGCACCAGGGACGCUUCCAAAAAGAGUCGUGGGAUCUCAUUCCCAGAGGCCAGGGUCGCUGCGGCGCAGGAAAAAAAAACGCCCGGAGACCCCAAAUCGACUCCCACGCCGACGCCGGGGGUGGGAAGGACCCUGUACAUGUUCUCCUCACUCACCAAAAACUAUCCUGAAAAAAGGCGCAAGGGCCCAGAUCACAGCCUCGGCUUCCAGGCCAGGGGU